rnacentral:rRNA from 1 species
GACAGAGGAUGCAAGCGUUAUCCGGAAUGAUUGGGCGUAAAGCGUCUGUAGGUGGCUUUUUAAGUCCGCCGUCAAAUCCCAGGGCUCAACCCUGGACAGGCGGUGGAAACUACCAAGCUGGAGUACGGUAGGGGCAGAGGGAAUUUCCAGUGGAGCGGUGAAAUGCGUAGAGAUUGGAAAGAACACCAAUGGCGAAAGCACUUUACUGGGCUAUUACUGACACUGAGAGACGAAAGCUAGGGUAGCAAAUGGG